UUCGAUCAUGGCUCAGAUUGAACGCUGGCGGGAUGCUUUACAUACAGAGUCGAACGGCAGCACGGACUUCGGUCUGGUGGCGAGUGGCGAACGGGUGAGUAAUGUAUCGGAACGUGCCUAGUAGCGGGGAUAACUACGCGAAAGCGUAGCUAAUACCGCAUACGCCCUUCGGGGGAAAGCGGGGGACCUUCCGGGCCUCGCACUAUUAGAGCGGCCGAUAUCGGAUUAGCUAGUUGGUGGGACAACGGCUCACCAAGGCGACGAUCCGUAGCUGGUUUGAGAGGACGACCAGCCACACUGGGACUGAGACACAAGCAGACUCCUGCGGGGAGGCAGCAGUGGGAAUUUUGGACAAUGGAAGCCUGAUCCAACCAUCCCGCGUGUACGAUAGCGCCUUCAGGUUGUAAAGCACUUUUGGCGGGAAAGAAACGGCACGAGGAUAUACAUUAGCUGACGUACCUGCAGAAUAAGCGCAAGUAACUACGUGCCAGCAACCGCGGUAAUACGUAGAGUGCAAGCGUUAAUCGGAAUUACUGGGCGUAAGCGUGCGCAGGCGGUUCGGAAAGAAAGAUGUGAAAUCCCAGAGCUUAACUUUGGAACUGCAUUUUUUAACUACCGAGCUAGAGUGUGUCAGAGGGAGGUGGAAUUCCGCGUCAACGGUAAUGCGUAGAUGGCGGAGGAACACCGAUGGCGAAGGCAACUUCCUGGGAUGCUGCUGACGCUCAUGCACGAAAGCGUGGGGAGCAAACAGGAUUGAAUACCCUGUUGGUCCCGCCCUAAACGAUGUCAAUAGCUGUUGGAGCCUUCGGGCCUUGGUAGCGCAACUAACGCGUGAAGUUGACCGCGCCUGGGAAAUACCCGGUCGCAAGAUUAAAACUUCCAAAAGAUUGACGGGGACCCGCACAGCGGUGGAUGAUGUGGAUUAAUUCGAUACAGCUUAUGAAAAACCUUACCUACCUUGACAUGUGCUCAUGGAAUCCCGAAGAGAUUUGGGAGUGCUCGCAAGAGAACCGGAACACAGGUGCUGCAUGGCUGUCAUCCAGCUCUGAUGUCGUGAGAUGUUGGGUUAAGUCCCGCAGCGACGCAACCCUUGUCGUGGUUGCUACGAAGGGCAUCUAAUGAGACUGCCAGUGACUGGAAGCCGGAGGAGGUGGGAUGACGUCAGGCCUCAUAGCCCUUAUGGGUAGGGCUUCACACGUCAUACAAUGGUCGGGACAGAGGGUCGCCAGCCGCGAGGGGGAGCCAAUCCAGAAGCCCGAUCGUAGUCCGGAUCGCAGUCUGCAACUCAAACUGCGUGAAGUCGGAAUCGCUAGUAAUCGCGGAUCAGCAUGUCGCGGUGAAUACGUUCCACAGGUCUUGUACACACCGCCCGGCGUCCACCAUGGGAGUGGGUUUUACCGAAGUAGUUAGCCUAACCGUAAGGAGGGCGAUUACCACGGUAGGAUUCGCGGCUGGGGUGAGUCAACAAAACAG
rnacentral:rRNA from 1 species